GUAGAGUAAAUAUUGUGCGUUAAGUGCUAUGAGAUGGGAUGUAGCUCAUAGACGAAAAUCUCCUUUGGCUGGCCAGGCUGGUAUCCGGUGAUUUUUCUCAGGAAAUUUGCCUCUGACCAAACGGGAUUGCGGUACAAUAUUGCGUCCGCUGC
rnacentral:ncRNA from 1 species